GAUGAACGCUGGCGGCGUGCUUAACACAUGCAAGUCGAACGAAGCAUUUAAGACAGAUUACUUCGGUUUGAAGUCUUUUAUGACUGAGUGGCGGACGGGUGAGUAACGCGUGGGUAACCUGCCUCAUACAGGGGGAUAGCAGCUGGAAACGGCUGGUAAUACCGCAUAAGCGCACAGUACCACAUGGUACAGUGUGAAAAACUCCGGUGGUAUGAGAUGGACCCGCGUCUGAUUAGCUUGUUGGCGGGGUAACGGCCCACCAAGGCGACGAUCAGUAGCCGACCUGAGAGGGUGACCGGCCACAUUGGGACUGAGACACGGCCCAGACUCCUACGGGAGGCAGCAGUGGGGAAUAUUGCACAAUGGAGGAAACUCUGAUGCAGCGACGCCGCGUGAGUGAAGAAGUAGUUCGCUAUGUAAAGCUCUAUCAGCAGGGAAGAUAGUGACGGUACCUGACUAAGAAGCUCCGGCUAAAUACG
rnacentral:rRNA from 1 species